rnacentral:tRNA from 1 species
AAAGGGAGACCUAAUUCAGGUAGGAGACGAAAAAAAAGUAGUCCCAACCAAGAAUCAAUCCCAAAAGGUCGGAGCGAGGUAUGAGGCUUUCAAACUAGGUUCUGGGUUCAUAAAAGACCUGAAUCAGGAACAAGGGCUAUUAGCUCAGGUGGUUAGAGCGCACCCCUGAUAAGGGUGAGGUCCCUGGUUCGAGUCCAGGAUGGCCCACCUGCACAGGUGGCAAAAACAAAGAAUAAAAGCUCCGAAUCAGCACCUUAUCUUACUUAUACAGUAAGAGAGAAUGCUGGCUCCGAGUUCAGAGUCCAGAGGAACCUUGAAAACUGCAUAGAGCUAGGUGAAAAAGCCAAAAAAGAAGACCGCAAG